CCGGCGAGGGGGAAGUCUGAGAACUCUGGCUUGGCGGGCCGCGCAGAUGGAAGGGCCUGGCAGUCUGCGGACAACAGGCUCAGUAGUGCGGCUAGCCCCAUUUGGGGCUCUUGCCCUUUGGGGACAGCUACGUCCUGGCCGCAGCCUUGCCAAGGCGGGUUCCUCAGUAGUGCUCCGGGCCCGAGAUGGUGAAGAAGGGAAAGCACGGAGUUGGGGCCCUCCUGGCUACGACCCAGAGUUCCGACCCCGUUUCUUGGCCUGAUGGCCUGCCUGGGCACAUGCAUCGGCAGCCACCCGUGGAAGAGCGACUGCGAGCCUGGAGCGUCCCUGGUCACCAGCAUAGACACCCAAGGAGGCGUAGAUAUUCGACUCUGGGGCCCAUCUGCUCGCAGACAAGGGUCACGUCAGGGCACACUGCCCACCCUAGGUCCGCGGGCCUCGGAGAACCAACGCCUAGUGGGCCGCCCAGGUGUCCUCGGGUCCCUCCCGGCUUUCCCACCAAGCUUGCACGCAAGCACACGCUCCUGGCCCGUUGCGGGCGCGCGCGAGCCGGCCGCGCGCCCCCGGAAUCUAUAUUUUCCCCUCAUUAGGAGCCUGAGUUUCGCGUUUGCAUCUUAAUGAGUAGCUGGGAGCGCGCGGGGACCUCCACGUGAGCGGCCGCCCCGAGAUGGAGCCUCUCAGCGCCCGCUCCGGCCUCGACCACGCUCCCCUCUUCAUUUAUUUAUUCUCCUAAAUAAAAACAUAAAUCGU
ensembl:lincRNA Gm10655 predicted gene 10655